CCUACGGGAGGCAGCAGUGAGGAAUAUUGGUCAAUGGGCUUACGCCUGAACCAGCCAAGUCGCGUGAGGGAAGACUGCCCUAUGGGUUGUAAACCUCUUUUGUCAGGGUGCAAUUGUCGCUACGUGUAGCGUUAUCGAGAGUACCUGACGAAAAAGCAUCGGCUAACUCCGUGCCAGCAGCCGCGUUCAUACGGAGGAUGCGAGCGUUAUCCGGAUUUAUUGGGUUAAACGGGUGCUUAGGCGGACUAUGAAGUCAGCGGUAAAAAUUCGGGGCUCAACCCCGUCGUGCCGUUGAAACUGAUGUUCUUGAGUGGGCGAGAAGUAUGCGGAAUGCGUGGUGUAGCGGGGAAAUGCAUAGAUAUCGCGCAGAACUCCGAUUGCGAAGGCAGCAUACCGGCGCCCAACUGACGCUGAAGCACGAAAGCGUGGGUAUCGAACAGGAUUAGAGACCCGAGUAGUC
rnacentral:rRNA from 1 species